rnacentral:rRNA from 1 species
GACGAACGCUGGCGGCGUGCUUAACACAUGCAAGUCGAACGGAAAGGCCCUGCUUUUGUGGGGUGCUCGAGUGGCGAACGGGUGAGUAACACGUGAGUAACCUGCCCUUGACUUUGGGAUAACUUCAGGAAACUGGGGCUAAUACCGGAUAGGAGCUCCUGCUGCAUGGUGGGGGUUGGAAAGUUUCGGCGGUUGGGGAUGGACUCGCGGCUUAUCAGCUUGUUGGUGGGGUAGUGGCUUACCAAGGCUUUGACGGGUAGCCGGCCUGAGAGGGUGACCGGCCAAAUGGGGACUGAGAUACGGCCCAGACCCCUACGGGAGGCAGCAGGGGGGAAUAUUGCAAAAGGGGGGGAAGCCUGAUGAAGCAACGCCGGGUGCGGGAUGACGGCUUUCGGGUUGAAAACCGCUUUCGCCUGUGACGAAGCGUGAGGGACGGUAAUGGGAAAAGAAGCACCGGCUAACUACGU